rnacentral:rRNA from 1 species
GAUGAACGCUAGCGGCAGGCCUAAUACAUGCAAGUCGAACGGUAAGUAUGAUAGCAAUAUUAUACGAGAGUGACGUACGGGUGCGUAACACGUAUGCAACCUACCCAAAACAGGAGGAUAGCGUCGGGGAAACUCGAAUUAACCCUCCAUGAGAUCAUAGAAUGGCAUCAUUCAGUGAUUAAAACUCAGGUUGGUUUUGG